AGCUUAGCACAGUGGCAGUAUCGUAGCCAUUGAGGUUAAUCCAAGGUGCGAUUAUUGCUAAUUAAAUACUGAAGGAGGGCAGCCCC
ensembl:snRNA U4 U4 spliceosomal RNA